rnacentral:rRNA from 1 species
CCUACGGGGGGCAGCAGUGAGGAAUAUUGGUCAAUGGUCGGGAGCCUGAACCAGCCAAGCCGCGUGAGGGAUGAAGGUACAGAGUAUCGUAAACCUCUUUUGUCAGGGAACAAAGGCGGCGACGCGUCCCCGGACGAGAGUACCCGAAGAAAAAGCAUCGGCUAACUCCGUGCCAGCAGCCGCGGUAAUACGGAGGAUGCGAGCGUUAUCCGGAUUUAUUGGGUUAAAAGGGUGCGCAGGCGGACUGUUAAGUCAGCGGUAAAAUCCCGGGGCUCAACCCCGGCGCGCCGUUGAAACUGGCAGUCUCGAGUUGGAGAGAAGUAUGCGGAAUGCGCGGUGUAGCGGUGAAAUGCAUAGAUAUCGCGCAGAACUCCGAUUGCGAAGGCAGCAUGCCGGCUCCACACUGACGCUGAGGCACGAAAGCGUGGGUAUCGAACAGGAUUAGAUACCCGUGUAGUC